UCCGAUACCGAUACAAUAUCGCCCAUUGCUAUAGCAACUGCGGAGAUGAACAAAAUUGUGUGUGUCUUCUGUGUGGGAGUGCUACUGUUUGCAGCAAACAGCUGUACGGCACCGGUUGAGCAGCAAGACCCUAUAACACUCCCACUUUUGGACAGGGUUACCAGAUCCUCGGCGUAUUUUUCGUGUGGAUGGCUGCAGUGUCUCAAAAGGAGAACGUCAGCAACACCACCAACAAGAGUUAGUUAAUUAGCGUACAGCGGUCGGCCAGUUAGCGAGGGCUUGCUGUAUUUACUAAGAGAUUGGCGCAGCAUCCGGUUUAUUCGCGUUAAAAGAGAUUUCGAAGGCUGUUCGCACCUGUAAACCAAACAAAAAUAUCAGCAACACCGUCAACGCCAAUUGUGGUUAUUUGUUUCAGGGUCGCGGAGAGCAAAACAAGCUGACGCUCGAAAAGGAUUCCCUCUCGAAAGCAACGUUAUCAAUUCGCCGCAGUGAUUUCAUUGGAAUAAAUAAUGAAGCAUGAUAUUGCGAA